rnacentral:rRNA from 1 species
AUGAACGCUGGCGGCGUGCCUAAUACAUGCAAGUAGAACGCUGAAGGAAGGAGCUUGCUCUUUCCGGAUGAGUUGCGAACGGGUGAGUAACGCGUAGGUAACUUGCCUGGUAGCGGGGGAUAACUAUUGGAAACGAUAGCUAAUACCGCAUAACAGUAGAUGUUGCAUGAUAUCUACUUAAAAGGUGCAAUUGCACCACUACCAGAUGGACCUGCGUUGUAUUAGCUAGUUGGUGAGGUAACGGCUCACCAAGGCGACGAUACAUAGCCGACCUGAGAGGGUGAUCGGCCACACUGGGACUGAGACACGGCCCAGACUCCUACGGGAGGCAGCAGUAGGGAGUCUUCGGCAAUGGACGGAAGUCUGACCGAGCAACGCCGCGUGAGUGAAGAAGGUUUUCGGAUCGUAAAGCUCUGUUGUAAGAGAAGAACGAGUGUGAGAGUGGAAAGUUCACACUGUGACGGUAUCUUACCAGAAAGGGACGGCUAACUACGUG